GACCCACUCACACAGAGAAAGCCUCGCUGGAGUGUCAGAGGCUUGGGCAGGAGAUAAUUCGCCGUUGUGCUUGGAAAAUCCUGCAGUUGUACCUGCAACAGGCACCUGAGGAGGCUGGGCAAAUAUUAAUAUAUAAUACUUACUGAGUGCUUCCUAUGAACUAGGACCUCUGAGAAGAGAUUUAUGUGCAGACCUCCUCUAACCUUUCCAGCAGCCCAUGAGAAAGCUGCCAUGGAGCCUUCAUUGAACCCUUACCAUGGGACAGCCACUGAGCUAAGAGCAUUGCAUGCAUGAGCUCACAUAAUCCUCACAACACCAAAUGGAGAUAUCAUUAGCUCCAUUUCACAGAAGAAGCAAUCAAGGUUUACAGACAAUAGAGAACCUGGCAAAGUCAUCCAGCCUGUGUGUGGUAGAAGAAGAUUUGAAUUAAAUACUUUCCGCCUCCAAAGUCCUUGCUGUUAACUGAGCCGUGCUGCCUCCCAGAUGGUCACAGUCAUUGCUCCCUUCAUCUGAAUUUCCUCUUCUCUGUGCAUGCUUUUUCUCACAUGGGUAAGUAUCAAAAACUUUUCCUGUUCUCGGAUUUUAAGCCUUCUGGUUUUCUUUAAAGCACUCGGAAAAUCCUAUCUUUUGCUGGAAGUUGUCCUGACUGAAGGGAGCUCAGUCAAAAACUCCCCAUCUGCAUCCCAGGCAAACUCGUUGUCCCUUCCACUCCUCAGCAGUCACUCAGGCAUUAAAUAUUUAUAGGAUCUCAUUCCUGCAAACCAUUACCAUCAGUGGUAGAACUGAACUGAACUCAUUGACUGGAAAUAUAUGGCUCUUGGUUCCUUUUUUUUUUUUUUGCUUCUUUAGUCCAGUCCCUUGGUUUAUUUGUCUAAUGGCUGUGCUGGUAUAACACCGAUUUAGUUAUUAUUGCUCUAUAAUAAAUCUUAAUAAUGAAAGGGCAAGACCCUCUUUCUUCUUACUCAUUGUCAGAAGUGUGUAGGCUAUCCUUCCAUAUUUGUUAAACUUAAUUUCAUGAGAAGCCAUUUUGUAAUUUUAUUGAAAUUGCAUGAAAUCUACAGAUGAAUUUAGGA
rnacentral:lncRNA from 10 species